rnacentral:rRNA from 1 species
GCAGCCGCCGCGGGAAUACGGAGGGGGCUAGCGUUGUUCGGAAUUACUGGGCGUAAAGCGCACGUAGGCGGCUUGGUAAGUUAGAGGUGAAAGCCCGGAGCUCAACUCCGGAAUUGCCUUUAAGACUGCCGAGCUAGUAGGUGAGAGAGGUAAGUGGAAUUCCGAGUGUAGAGGUGAAAUUCGUAGAUAUUCGGAAGAACACCAGUGGCGAAGGCGGCUUACUGGCUCAUUCUAGACGCUGAGGUGCGAAAGCGUGGGGAGCAAACAGGAUUAGAUACCCGCGUAGUCCCUGUCUCUUAUAC